UACGGGGGGGGCAAGCGUUGUUCGGAAUUACUGGGCGUAAAGGGCUCGUAGGCGGCCAACUAAGUCCGACGUGAAAUCCCCAGGCUUAACCUGGGAACUGCGUCGGAUACUGGAUGGCUUGAAUCCGGGAGAGGGAUGCGGAAUUCCAGGUGUAGCGGUGAAAUGCGUAGAGAUCAGGCGGAACACCUGUGGCGAAGGCGGCCAGCUGGGCCGUCCCUGACGCUGAGGCGCGAAGGCGUGGGGAGCGAACGGG
rnacentral:rRNA from 1 species